UACGAAGGGGGCUAGCGUUGUUCGGAAUUACUGGGCGUAAAGCGCGCGUAGGCGGUGAUCUUUGUCAGAGGUGAAAUCCCGAGGCUCAACUUCGGAAUUGCCUUUGAAACGGGAUCGCUUGAGUCCGAGAGAGGAUGGCGGAAUUCCUAGUGUAGAGGUGAAAUUCGUAGAUAUUAGGAAGAACACCGGUGGCGAAGGCGGCUCACUGGCCCGAAACUGACGCUCAUGCACGACAGCGUGGGGAUCAAACAGG
rnacentral:rRNA from 1 species